CAUCACAUGAAUUGACCUGUGGACCCGACGUCUCAUCAUAGCUGCUGUCACCCUCUGACCCCUGACUAGUCCGGAGACCUGAGGUGGGGGGGAGGGGUGUCAGCUCUGUGCAUGGGGCCAUGAGCAGCUCCUGGA